UAUAUGGCAGCCUCCUAUUGUUACUUUUGUGGUAUGGUUAUGCCUUCCUAAAAUAUUCUAAAUUCUCAGAUGAGAUACUUUUGUAUACCCCUAAUAUUGUUGCUUUGCAGGUACGUGUUUGUGCUUUCCCUGCCAGUCGAUUAGGAUUGCAAGGAAUUGGGAUCAGUCCAGACUGUAAUCCUGAUGAUAGGGCUACCCCUCGACAGCUUUUCAAUUGGGCACUUGAGCCAGGAGAAGAUGAUGUUCUUGAUCGGCUCUUUGAGCUCGGAUAUCAAGAUGCAGCUGUAUGGGCUAAGGACAACCCGGUUGGCGAAAUAGUUGAAGACGACACUUCCUUGGUUGGUAGUGGCAUAGAUCAGUAGGCUGUCAUUAGAGUCUCUCUUUGACCUUGAAGAUGCAUUAGGUUCUUGGUUACUGUCAAUUACUGAGAAUCCUGUUAUGCCAUUUUCACAUACAGGUCAGACAGACUAGCUUUCCUAUAGCAUAUACAGCCCUUGAUUAUAAAAGGGUGGAACCACAUUCUCUUGAUAUAGUAUUGCAAUUGUAUAGCAAGCUGUAAAAUUUGUUGUAAGACCGUAUGCGGAAUAGGGAAAAGAAAAAAAAAAUAUAAGGUCAUUGAAAAUGCAUUUACCAAUAAUGAUCAAUUCAGAUUAGGUCCAGUUUUAGAGACCUUCUAUCUCCAGACUUGUUCCUUUUGGUUUUAGUUUCGAUUUCAUUAGGCGGUACUCGUACUCUUUAAAAUUCUGUGGCUGGUAUUGGAUUUCUUGAUGGUGUCGUAGAUUUGGGUGUUGUUUAUGAUUGUAAUCUUUCCAAUAGAGAUGAAUAUAAUCUUUGAGGUUAGGUAUCUAACUCACAAGAAAGAAGCUGGAUCUGAGAACAUUUGAUUUGAA